GAAGGGAAAGGCCAAUGGCCCUGCAAGAAUGCAAAUAUCAUAAAGGUAGUUAAUUCCCAUUAAACAAAAAAGAACAUGAUAUCCAGAAUCAGUAACACCACAACAAAAUAUGUUCCAUUAUCAAACAUCCAUGUGAGGACACCACAGUUUUGCCUGUGAUGGAUAAUGCCUAGACAAGUAUCACUCGUUAAUAAAAGAACUAAAAAUUCUAACCAAAAUCAGCAAACUACUACUAAUCAAACAGAACCAAAGAUUAGGACAUGACACAAGUUCAGAAAAUUAUAAAGAUGUACAAGAAAACUCAACUUAAUUCAAGGUUACCACAUCUUUGACCUAGCAACUAGGAAUUAGCAACAUGAACCAUGACUCUCUUUUCUCCAAUAUGAAACUAACCAAAAGUCUUCCGCAUUACAGUCCAGUUGCAGCCAACGAUCCCAAACUGAAUGAAGCUAACAAAAAUGACCCAAAUUUAUAUACUAUAAUAAGAACAUUAAAGAAAAAAUCCGAUAAACCAUCAACAGAAAAGAAGCAUCGUAGGAAGGGAAAAGAGGACAUUUAACCUCUUUAAUCAGUUGCAAUCUUAUUCUUCUGGAAUUCAACUGCCACUCAAGAGAUCAAUCCUACACCACUGGGACCUCAAAUAUCAAUUCAACAUGGAAAUUUCUGAUUAUUUAUGCUUAAAGUUUCACCUUUAAUGCUGAUUCAGUGUAUUCUAAUUCCACAAGGAUUACAUGAAUUAUUUUCUUAAAAAAAAAAAUGUGAAUAGAGUUAUCAAGACAUGAUUAAAUUCUUCUUUAGAGCAAGUGCAUAGACUCAAAAUAGCAGGAAGAAAAAACCACAUAACUGCGAACAGAAGCAAAAUUUUAAAACAUUAAAAAAUAAAAAGCAGCCACUUAAAAUUCUUCCACAACAUCUAGGUCCACAGUGAAAAUGAUAAAGAACAUUUUUGGCACCUGCGUUGAGCCUGUAUCAUGGU
rnacentral:misc_RNA from 1 species